rnacentral:ncRNA from 1 species
UCAUUCAGGUCGUGCGGCUGUUAUGCUGCCAGGGCGUCCGAGGGGGAAGUCCGGUGCGAAUCCGGCGCUGACCCGCAACGGUGAGCGGAGCCCGUGCUGCCCGUACGGCCCCGCCAGCCCGAUCGCCCCCGGCCGCUGAACUCCCGAC